GUGCUCGCUUCAGCAGCACAUACACCAAAACUGUAACGAUCCAGAGAAGAUUCGAAUGGCCCCUGUGCAAGGAUGACACACAAAUUCAUGAAGUGUUCCAUAUAUCU
rnacentral:snRNA from 1 species